GGAAGGGAGCCAGGCACUUUCCACCUGGCUCAGGGACUAUAUGCGCUCUCAGGUGCCCCCUACUGAGUGUUUCCGUCCCUGUGGUUCUGAGGCCUGCAGAGGCUCCUCGCAGCAGUCCGGGGCUGCUAAAGGAAGGCGUGGGGGCUGCUGACAGCUCAACCCUCUGCUCUUACAGACUAGCAGGGACUUGGGCGUAGGCCAAGAAUGCAGCUUUGACACUCCGGGCUCACCGAAUGGAUUUGGGCAAGUCACUGCUCCCCUCUGAGCUUUGGUUUCCUCACCAAAAGAACUCCUGGCUCAUGAAACGGUUACUAUCACUACCGUGUGGCAGUUGGGGAGUGGACACCACAGAGGGGAGAGUUCUCAGCAGCGCCAUGCAAACUCACGCUCUGCCCAGAAGUCGGAGGAAUCUAAUCUUCAUAGAGGGAGGCUCAACGAGUCCUUCCACUCUGAGAGGACCUGCAUGUAGGUCAAUUGCCCUGUGUUGGCUGCUGGGGGAGACCCAAUAGCCAUGAGGGACCAAUGCCCCCUAUUGAAGCUGAUAUUACUUUGUUUC